rnacentral:rRNA from 1 species
UACGUAGGGCGCAAGCGUUAUCCGGAUUUACUGGGUGUAAAGGGAGCGCAGACGGCAGUGCAAGUCUGAUGUGAAAGCCCGGGGCUCAACCCCGGAACUGCAUUGGAAACUGUACAGCUUGAGUGUCGGAGAGGUAAGCGGAAUUCCUAGUGUAGCGGUGAAAUGCGUAGAUAUUAGGAGGAACACCGGUGGCGAAGGCGGCUUACUGGACGAUGACUGACGUUGAGGCUCGAAAGCGUGGGGAGCAAACAGGAUUAGAUACCCUGGUA